rnacentral:rRNA from 1 species
UACGUAGGGUGCGAGCGUUAAUCGGAAUUACUGGGCGUAAAGCGUGCGCAGGCGGCUUUGCAAGACAGAUGUGAAAUCCCCGGGCUCAACCUGGGAACUGCAUUUGUGACUGCAAGGCUAGAUUACGGCAGAGGGGGAUGGAAUUCCGCGUGUAGCAGUGAAAUGCGUAGAUAUGCGGAGGAACACCAAUGGCGAAGGCAAUCCCCUGGGCCUGUACUGACGCUCAUGCACGAAAGCGUGGGGAGCAAACAGG